ensembl:lncRNA
CCCAUCCAUAUGCAGUUCGCACUUCCAUCUGCAGUUCACACCCAUCCAUUCCCUUACAUUCACCCAUCCAUCUGCAGUCAACCCAUCCAUCUACAUCACCAUCCUAUGCAAGUUCCCAGCUCCUACUAUCCCCAUCAUCCUACAGUUCACCCUCCAUCCACAGUUCACCCCUCAAUCUAUAGUUAUUCCAUCCAUCUGCAGUUCACCCAUCCAUCCAUCUAUGGUUCUCCCAUCAUCUGCAGUUCACCCAUCCAUCCAUCCAUCUAUAGUUUCUCCCAUCCAUCCAUCUGCAGUUCUCCCAUCCAUCCAUCGCAGUUCACCCCCAUCCAUCUCAGUACAUCCAUCAUAUGCAGUUCACCCAUCCAUCCAUCUAUAGUUCUCCCCACCAUCUGCAGUUUUGCCUAUCCAUCUAAGUUUCCCCAUCCUCUACAGUUCACCCAUCCAUUCGGCAGUUCACGCCAUCCAUCCAUCGCAGUUCACCCAUCCAUCCAGCCAUCUAUAGUUCUCCCAUCACAUCUGCAAGUCACCCAUCAUCUGCAGGUCCCACAUCAUCUGCAGUUCACCCAUCCAUCCAUCUGCAGUUCACCCAUCCAUCCAUCUAUAGUUCUCCCAUCCAUCUGCAGGUCACCCAUCCAUCCAUCCAUCUAUAGUUAUCCCAUCCAUCCAUCUAUAGUUCUCCCAUCCAUAUGCAGUUCGCACAUCCAUCUGCAGUUCAGCCAUCCAUCCAUCUACAGUUCACCCAUCCAUCUACCGUUCACCCAUCCAUCUGCAGGUCACCCAUCCAUCUAUGGUUCUCCCAUCCAUCUGCAGUUCACCCAUCCAUCUGCAGUUCACCCAUCCAUCCAUCUGCAGUUCACCCAUCCAUCCACCUAUAGUUAUCCCAUCCAUCUGCAGGUCACCCAUCCAUCCAUCCAUCUAUAGUUAUCCCAUCCAUCCAUCUAUAGUUCUCCCAUCCAUCUGCAGUUCGCACUUCCAUCUGAAGUUCUCCCAUCCAUCCAUCUGCAGUUCUCCCAUCCAUCUGCAGUUCACCCAUCCAUCUACAGUUCACCCAUCCAUCUACAGUUCACCCAUCCAUCUACCAUUCACCCAUCCAUCUGCAGUUCACCCAUCCAUCCAUCUAUGGUUCUCCCAUCCAUCUGCAGUUCACCCAUCCAUCCAUCCAUCUAUAGUUCUCCCAUCCAUCCAUCUGCAGUUCUCCCAUCCAUCCAUCUGCAGUUCACCCAUCCAUCUACAGUACAUCCAUCCAUAUGCAGUUCACCCAUCCAUCCAUCUAUAGUUCUCUCAUCCAUCUGCAGUUCUCCCAUCCAUCUGCAGUUCACACAUCCAUCUGCAGUUCGCCCAUCCAUCUGCAGUUCACCCAUUCACCCAGUUCACAGUUCAUCCAUUGACAGACAGCUUCAUCCAUCCCAGAACCAUCUGCACCUCCUCCAUAUGUGUAAUUGAUCUCUCUGUGUAAGGGAGGGAGGGUGCAUUGGGGUGAAGCAGGGGGUCAUUUCAGCUAAACCAAAUUGAAGCUCAUUUACUUUAUUUCUACAAAAUUUUAAAAUUCUUAAAAGCAAAUGGGAGAACAGCAAAAACAAGCUAAAUUGACUCCAGCCAUUACCACCGUGUUCCUGUACCACCGUUCACCUCAGUCAAUAGGGGACUUAACAUUCUACAAAACACGUCAUUCAGUAAUUAGCUGCUACACACUAGCUCAGCACAGGGAUUAAAACUCUAGUCUAGUUUCAUGUCAAGUCAAACAUCAGUUACCUAGCCAAAGAUCUUAACUCUGUACUGUUUUGAGAAAAAGUUCCCUGCAGCCGUGUGCCCUCUUCAUAAAGCCAACCAGCCAGCCAGCCAUACAAACAGCUUUCCCUCCCGCUCCCUGGCCUCCGUAUAGUCCUAAAAUCAGUCAUCAAUACCCACUAAACUGCAUUUGCCUUUUACUGGGGAUUGUACUGAUUUUAGUAGCCUAUUUUAAAUUGUUGGCGUUAAACUAGGGUAUGUCUGCCUUACCCAAUUGAUGCCCCUGGGGUGAAGAUAAAGAAUGCAUCCCAAAUGGCACUCUAUUCCCUACAUAGAGCACUACAUAGGGAACUACAUAGGGCACUACAUAGGGAACUACAUAGAGCACUACAUAGGGAACUACAUAGAGCACUACAUAGGGAACUACAUAGGGAACUACAUAGAGCACUACAUAGGGAACUACAUCAAAUCAAAUGUAUUUGUCACAUACACAUGGUUAGCAGAUGUUAAUGCGAGUGUAGCGAAAUGCUUGUGCUUCUAGUUCCGACAAUGCAGUAGUAAUCUAACCUAACAAUUCCAAAACUACUACCUUAUACACACAAGUGUAAAGGGAUAAAGAAUAUGUACAUAAAGAUAUGAAUUAGUGAUGGUACAGAACGGCAUAGGCAAGAUGCAGUAGAUGGUAUAGAGUACAGUAUAUACAUAUGAGAUGAGUAAUGUAGGGUACAUAGAGCACUACAUAGGGAACUACAUAGGGAACUACAUAGAGCACUACAUGGGAAACUACAUAGAGCACUACAUAGGGAAAUACAUAGAGCACUACAUAGAGCACUACAUAUGGAACUACAUAGGGCACUACAUAGGGAAUCGGGUGCCAUUUGGGACACAAGCAACAUUUGUCACCAGGAAUCAGGACUCGUCUGCAACCCUCCAGGCCUAUUCCAGCUCAACCCUCCAGGCCUAUUCCAGCUCAACCCUCCAGGCCUAUUCCAGCUCAACCCUCCAGGCCUAUUCCAGCUCAACCAGACAGUAGAUCAUCGUUCUCCAACCUCCUCUGGCUGUUUUCACCUUUCAUCACCGGCCUGACUGAGUGGGACGGUGUCCCCACUGCCACUGACAGACUGGACCGCUUUAGACGGAGCAGGCACCUCCUUAGAUGCUCUCCUUCUGGACUCCUUUUUUGUUUGCUGUAAAAGGACAAAAGACAAAUUAAUUCUAACAGUCAU